rnacentral:rRNA from 1 species
AGCUAAUACAUGCAAACAGAAUUCCUCUCAGAGAUGGGAGGAAUGCUUUUAUUAGAUCAAAACCAAUCGGUGGCGGACGGCUCGUCCGUUCGUCAAUCGUUUGUUUUGGUGACUCUGAAUAACUUUGUGCUGAUCGCAUGGUCAUCUAGCACCGGCGACGCAUCUUUCAAAUGUCUGCCUUAUCAACUGUCGAUGGUAGGUUCUGCGCCUACCAUGGUUGUAACGGGUAACGGGGAAUCAGGGUUCGAUUCCGAGAGGGAGCCUGAGAAACAGCUACCACAUCCAAGGAAGGCAGCAGGCGCGCAAAUUACCCACUCCCGGCACGGGGAGGUAGUGACGAAAAAUAACGAUACGGGACUCAUCCGAGGCCCCGUAAUCGGAAUGAGUACACUUUAAAUCCUUUAACGAGGACCAAUUGGAGGGCAAGUCUGGUGCCAGCAGCCGCGGUAAUUCCAGCUCCAAUAGCGUAUAUUAAAGUUGUUGCGGUUAAAAAGCUCGUAGUUGAAUCUGUGUGUCACAGUGUCGGUUCACCGCUCGCGGUGUUUAACUGGCAUUAUGUGGUACCUCCUAUCGGUGGGCUUAGCUCCUUGCGGGCGGUCCAACUAAUAUCCCAUCGCGGUGCUCUUCACUGAGUGUCGAGGUGGGCCGAUACGUUUACUUUGAAAAAAUUAGAGUGCUUAAAGCAGGCUACCUUUGCCUGAAUACUGUGUGCAUGGAAUAAUGGAAUAGGACCUCGGUUCUAUUUUGUUGGUUUUCGGAACCCCGAGGUAAUGAUUAAUAGGGACAGAUGGGGGCAUUCGUAUUGCGACGUUAGAGGUGAAAUUCUUGGAUCGUCGCAAGACGGACAGAAGCGAAAGCAUUUGCCAAAAAUGUUUUUCAUUAAUCAAGAACGAAAGUUAGAGGUUCGAAGGCGAUCAGAUACCGCCCUAGUUCUAACCAUAAACGAUGCCAGCCAGNGUGGANNUCGCNAGANGNUCUUCAGAUGACUCNGCGNNCUCCANAACUUCCGGGAAACCAAAGCUUUUGGGUUCCGGGGGAAGUAUGGUUGCAAAGCUGAAACUUAAAGGAAUUGACGGAAGGGCACCACCAGGAGUGGAGCCUGCGGCUUAAUUUGACCCAACACGGGAAACCU